CCUGGUGUGCACAAAGCCCAGGUUCCAUCCCAGCACCACCUAGUUUGAGGGAGCCCGACUAUAAUCCCAGCACCUGGCCCAGAGAAGACCUGAUGAGGUCAUCCUUGAUGAUGUAAUGAGCUGGAGGCUGCCUGAGACCCUAUCAAAAUAAGAACAACAACAAUAAUAAUAAACAAUAACAACAUUUUAAAAAACAGAGUAAACUGGCUGUACACUGCCAAGGCUUCUGAGCACAGGGUUGGGGACCAUGGCCUGUCACCGAGUGCUAGAUGUGAGAGCCAAACUGAUCCUGACUGUGAGGAACGACCAUGAGUCGUAGCUCAGGCUGUCAGUGCGACUUGGCUUCUAAAGCUCUGACUGCGGAUUCCUUUAAAGAAAGCCAUUCUGUGUAACCCAAGGACACUCAGCAUUGAGCCUGAGAAGGUCUAAGCUGUCCUAAAGCAAGUCCUUGAUGAGGAUGUGUCUGUCUCUACUCUAGUGGCCCCAGCCUGGGCCACCACUGACAGUACUGUCCCUUUCUCUUGUUCCACUUCUCCAACUGGAAAAAGAAAGAAAAAAAGACUCCACCAGGCAUGUCACAAUGGGUCCGAUUGUUCUGAGCAGGCCACGCUGACUUAAAUAUUUACCUUUUUGUUUCACAAUCCAACAGGAAACAGGGGUCAAGAAUUUCUUUUUGUUCCCUUUCUCCCCCCACCCCUCUGGUCAGCACUAAAGAACAGUUGUUUUUCUAGUUACCCAAGAGGGAAAUGAUAACAGGUAGGAACGGUAAUCUCCAGACCAUAGCCCUUGGAUUUCAGUGGAAUUCUCCAGCAACUGGAUGAGACAGCUCUGAAUCUGAACCGUGGUCAACUUUCUCCUACUUUCUGUGUGCCUGGGGUGGGGCUGGUGAGCAGGAUCAGAGCUGAGCCUUGUUAAAUAACAAGGAGGAGAAGGAGAAGGAGAAGAAGGAAAAGAAGGAGGAGGAGGAGGAGGAGGAGGAGGAGCAGCAGAAGAAGAAGAAGAAGAAGAAGAAGAAGAAGAAGAAGAAGAAGAAGAAGAAGAAGAAGAAGAAGAAGAAGAAGAGGAGGAGGAGGAAGAGGAGGAGGAGGAAGAAGAGGAAGAAGAAGAAGAAGAAGAAGAAGAAGAAGAAGAAGAGGAAGAGGAAGAGGAAGAGGAAGAGGAAGAGGAAGAGGAAGAAGAAGAAGAAGAAGAGGAGGAGGAGAAAGAAGAAGAAGAAGAAGAAGAAGAAGAAGAAGAAGAAGAAGAAGAAGAAGAAGAAGAAGAAGAAGAAGAAGAAGAAGAAGACGACCACCCUAGGAGGACAUUGCUUUACAUGGUUCUGCUCUAGGCUGCAGCAGACCAAACCAAAAUGGAGUCACUUGUGUCAACUGUCAUCCCUUAGAACCUGUUCUGUGUUCUGGGGAGUCUUGACUGUUUCCUCAGUGUGAUAAUGAAGUUUUUGCUGCUUUAAGCCUUGUGAAAGACCUCCCUGUGUGAUGAACUGGGGGCGUUCAGUUGGUAGUAUUCACCUCGCACGCAUAAAGCCCUAACUUAGGUCCCCAAUGUGGCAUAAAAGUCUUCCAGGGGUUAACCUCUCAGAGUUCGGGCAUUUCCUUGUUCCCUCCUCACAAACCCCGUAGUGUUUUUGCUCUGUCCUUGGCCCAGCAAGAGCUUUCUGUUCUGCUUUGUGGUUGGAAACAGUCUCGAUGCAGGAACCACAAACAAAAUGCUAUUUGGGUCUGCAACGGGAUCUACUUGAGGUACCGAACGUCAUCGUGAACAAGGUGCACUCCAGUCAAGAAGUCCUGAUCAUUACAACGGGUCUGGUUAGGCUUGGGGACCACGGUUACUCAACUCCUCUGUACGCUGUUGAGUUCUGAAGGAGCAGCCCGUUCAGACCUCCUGCUUAGAAGAGUCUGUGCAAGAAUGGGGGCCGUUUCUUCCUUGAAUACGUGGAGAAAGUGGUCUGGUCCGAUGCCUUCUGAGGCAGUUUUUAUCACAUUCCUCAGUGGGCAGCUCCAGGGACCCAUCUAGCUGUGAUCCUAAAGAUGACCACAGUAUCCCUUGUUGCUUUGGGCGUGGCCACUUCUGUCCUUUGUGUCCUGGUUCAGCUUGGAAUUGAUUGUGCUCCCCCGCUGCUCUUCCUGGCGCUUGAAACACUUUCUCUGAAGCCCAGGGCAUUCAUUAAUUUUCUUAUUAGUGUGGCCAAGACAGCCAGGCAGAAACCAAUUACAGGAAGGCAGGCUGACUUCUGACUCACAGUCUGGGAGGUGUGUUAGUCCAUCCUAAAGAGUGUGGUGGAGAUUCUUCCCGAGGUGCAGGGCCUGGAAGCAGAGAGAGCUGGAACCAGGAAUUAUAACUUUCAGAGCACACAGCCGCCAGUCCCCUCGGGAAGGAGGACGUAGCUCUGAGGGUGGAACGCUUGCCUAACACACAAAUCCCCAGGUUCCAUCCCCAGCACCCCACAGAGUAGACACGGGGAAGGGAGCACACCUGUGACCUCGGCUCUCUCCAGAGGUGGAGGCAGGGGGAUCAGGUUCAAGAUCACCCGCAGCCACGCAAAAAAUUUGAGGCCAGCCUGGGCUACAGGAGUGAGACGCUAAAACGAAACAAAGUUUACCCGAAAGUGACCUAGUUCUUAGAGCUCCACAGCCUUCAAGAUGGCAUCACAAGCUCGAGACCAAGAAUUCAAAACACCGGCCUCAGAAGAACAUUCUAGAUCCAAACUAUAACACCUGUAUGGGCCACAAAUUCCCGGGCUCUAGUGAUUCUCCCACCUCAGCCUCCUGAACUCUGACACUACCGACAUGACACUUGGCUUCUCCUCUUGUCUCAGCCACUCCUGCUGGGAUACGUAUUCACUUUCCCUGGUAUUUUCAAAGGACUAAUAGUAUUUCUAAUUGUUCAUUCUUUCUAUUGUAUAUUUCAUAUCUUA